UGGUGGGGAGACACCCACACAGCCUCAGGGACAGACCCCAAAGUGCUACUUUGCAAAGGUGCAGCACUGUGGUGUGUCCCAGCAUCUGCCAUGGCCAGGUUAAAAAAUACAAAAACUUUGCCUACGAGGAGCCAGAGCCUCAAUGCUGAGAUUUGGGGGCUGGGAGAAAGGAUGGGGACAGGUUAGGGGUCUGCGGGAGCAAGGAGGGGUUAAGUGCUCAGGACCCGUCCGUGCCCACCGUCC
rnacentral:lncRNA from 1 species